ACUUGGAAAAAACAUACAUCAUAUUGCAAUAUAAUUUACUUUGAGAUUUCAAUUUGGAAAAUGGCAUGGAAAUAAUCCAGCUUGAACAUCGUCCUCCUCACCUCCUGGACUAGGGCGAGGGCCCCUUAUAUUUCUUCAUGGCAAUUGUGUCACAGUUCAAACGCUCGUACCCUGACUCCAUCUGGGAUUUGGAAUGCACUCAGGGAAGUGGCUGUGCAUGGAGACUAGAAAUGGAAGAGGCUUCCAAGGUCAUGCCUUUCAGGCUCCCUUCAAAUUCUACAGCUACUGUGAAGAGAGUUGCAUUCCCACAGAGAACAUGUCAGACUGGAGGAAAAUUGUGACAAAAGGUCUCCCCAAAGAUCGAGGAAAGGAGGUUUGCCUGAAAAGGAGCCAGAGUGGUUCCGCCCAGACUGACGUGCUUCUGGCAGCCGGUGUGUACUGCUUGGUGACUGCUCUUUCAUUUCAGGUGGUGAUUUACCAAAUGCCGCUUUUUUUCUGUAUGACACAGGCGUGGCCAAACAUAGUCACCACUCAGAAUGUUGGGGAAGUUUCUCGUCCCCAUCAAACAGAGGGAGCAACCCUUGGUGGUUCAACAAUGAAGCCUCCAUUAGCUGAGAAGUCUAACUGUGAUUUAUCAUUCCCUACCUAUAAAGAUUGUAAACAAAUCAGGAAGCUUUCUGAGUCUCUUAGUCCUCUACUUCCAGGUAGAAGUGGUAAGAAUGUCAACCUUCCCUCACAACAUUGUAAGAAGGAAUGAUUAUUUGAAUUGAUUAUAAAAAGAUGCUCUGCAUUAUUCAUCAUUAGGGAAUUGCAAAUUAAAACAACAAGGAGAUAACGGCUACAUACCUAUUAGGACGGCUAAUAUCCAAAACGCUGACAGUACCAAAUGGUAGAGCAACAGGAACCCUCCUUCAUUGCUGGUGAAAAUGUAAAAUGGUUCGACCACUGUGGAAAACAGUUUGGCAGUUUUUUACAAAUCUAAACACACUUUUAUCAUAUCAUUCUGCAAUCAUGCUCCUUGAUAUUCUCCCAAAUGAGUUGAAAACUUAGGUCCACCCAGAAACCUCUGCACAAAAGUUUAUAGCAGCUUUAUUCAUAAUUGCCAAAACUUAGAAGCCACCAAGGUGUCCGUCAAUAGGUGAAUGGAUAAAUAAACUGUAGUAUAUUCAUACAGUGGAAUAGUAUUGAGCACUUAAAAAAGAAAAAGAGCUAUUAAGCCACAAAAAAGAAACGGAGGAAGCAUAAAGGCAUAUUACUAAGUGCAAGAAGCCAAUCUGAAAAGGCUACAGACUGUAUGAUUCCAACUAUAAGACAUUCUGGGGAGGUAAAAUUAUGCAGACAGUAAAGGAUCAGUGUUUGCCAGGGUUUUGGGAAGAUGGAAGGAGGAAUUAAUAGAUGGAACACGGGAUUUUUAAGCCAAUGGAACUAUAUUGAAUGACACUGAAAGGGUAGCUACAUGGCAUGAUAGAUCUGUCAAAGCCCACAGACUGUACAACACAAACAGUGAACCAUAUGUAAACUGUGGGCUUUGGUCACAAAGAGCGAACUGUAAUGUAAACUGUGGACUUUGGUUGAACAUGAGGCAUCAAUAUUACUUCAUCAGUUGUAACAAAACAUACUGUGACAUGUUGGUGGUGGAAGGGGCUGGGUGUGUGUUGGGGGAUGGUUAUGUGGAAACUGUACUUUCUGCUCAAUUUUAUUGUGAGCCUAAAACUUGUAAAAAAUGAAACUUAUUAAUUAAAACUAAAUCGAUUUUAAAAUCUAGAUAAAAGUUAUUAUGAAGCAGAAAGUGAAUAUAAUCAUAUAAUUAUAUAAAUUAAUAAAAAUAAUUGUUGAAUGCAUGCUUUAGGAUUAAGUUCAGUUGUACACAACACAGAAAACAACAACAAGUGUGGUUUAGACAAGAUAGAAGAAUAUGUUUCUCAUGUAUGCAAAAUAAGCCUAGAAGUAGGCAGUCCGGAGUUGGAAUGGUGACUCCACAGAGACUUUGGGGACCAAGGCUUCUGGCUUUGCUGAGACUCCCAUCUCAGCAUCUUACUCCCAUCUCUUGGUCUGAUAUAAUUGCCAGAACUCCAGCCAUUACAUCUGCAUUCUAAACAGCAGAGAGCGAGGAAGGAGGAAAUACUGGCAUGCCUCCUCCCUUAAAUGCAGACUUACAGGAAGUUUCAUAUUAUAGUUCUGCUUUUAUCUUAUUGGUCAAGAACUUAGACAAAUUGGCACAUCUACCUGUGAAGGAGUCUCACAAUUUUUUACCUGUUGAAUGUACACAAAAUUUAAAAAAUCUGCAGAGAGGUCCAGCUAAAAAUCAGGGCUCUGUUUCUAAAUAAAAAGAAAGAAAGGGAUGUUGGAGUAGGCAGCUAGCCAUCUGAGACUUUGAGCAACUGUUGCUAAGUUAAAAAUACAGUGCUAGAGGCAGAGGAUGAAAAACACAUUAGAUCAAUAGGAGAAAUAAACAUGCAAGCACGCGGCUAUUAUAUAUGGUGGCAAUUUGUUAAUGGCACAAGGAUUUCAAAAGAGGAUGUGCGUAUGCCCAGUUGGGAUUGAUCAGAGAAGCCCUCCUAGAGGGAAGGAUAUUUUACAAAGACCUAGAAGGAUGGAGAGAAUUUGAAUGGUAGGAAGUGGUGGAAAAAAAGGCAAACUUGGCAUAGGAAAUGGCAUGAGAGAAAGCAAGUUGUUAUUUGAUAAAGAGGGAUAUGCCUGUUAUUGGUGCAUUUUAUAGUCUGCACAGAUACAGAAAGUGCCUAGGCAGGAAGAAGUUUAUGUCUGUAGUUUGGACAUCUACCCCAAUGACAUCAGUUUCUCUAUUCACAAUCUGUCCAUCAUUCCCAUGGGGUGGGAGGUGAGGAAGAAUUCCAUUCAACAACACACACUUAGAGUAUCUCAGGCAAAGAGACUUUUUUUCUUUUGUAUUUAUGAUAAAACACCCAAAUAUGUAUCCAAGUGGGAUUACCAGCCUGGGUUGGAUCCAAGAGACUUUGGUUACUAGAACUAUUUCUCAUCAUAAAUCCCCAAACAAGUUGAGUUUUUCACUUCCUCUCCUAAUCUGCCAUGGAGCACAGCCGAGUUGCUUGAAGUCAUCUACUUCUUGGCAGUGGCUACAAUUCCAAGAUGAUGGAACGAUUCUUUUCCAUAUACAUCAUUAUUAUUUCUAGUAUAAAUAUUUAUCAAGCACUCACUGUGCAAUAGAGAAGAGCUCCUGCUUGGUGGUCUUUCCAGCUGAACAAAACAAACAUGAGUAGAGGUUGAGGGAAGAGGUGGGAAGAGAACCUCAGCUGGUGGGAAACAAUAGGAAUUGCUUCCCCACCCCACCUCCUUUUAUUCAUGUUGGAUGUUGUUUGGACUUGACUGCCAUAUUUCAGAUACGUAAAAUGUGUUUUUAUUUGUUUAACAUAUGCUUUAUAGGGCUUACCAUGUGCUGUGCACUGUUCUAAGCUCUUUACAAAUAUUAACACAUUCAAUCCUCAUAGAAUCCUGUGAAAUAAGUCAUUUUAUUAUCCCUAUUUGCAGAUGAGGAAACUGAGGCACACAGUAAUUUGCCCAAGGUCGCUAACUGGGCACAGUGACUCUAGAGCAACACUGUUCAGUAGAACUUUCCCUGAUGUCAGAAGUGUUCCAUAUUUGCGCUGCCCAAUAGGGUAACCACUGGAUACGUGUAGCUGUUGAGCACUUGAAAUGUGGCUUGUAUGACUGAGGAAGUGAACUUCUGAAAGUUCAGAAGGCCACCCACCUCACCCUCCCAAAGUGCUGAGAUUACAGGCAUGAGCCACCACACCCAGGCCGCCUUUCUUUCCUUUCCUCUCCCUUCCUCCCUCCCUCCCUUUUUUCUUUCUUUCUUUCUUGCUUGCCUGCCUGCCUUCCUUCCUUCCUUCCUUCCUUUUCUUUCUCUCUCUUUCUUUCCAUCCCUCCCUCCUCUCUCUCUCUUUCUUUCUUUCCUUUUCUUUUCCUUUCUUUUCUUUUCUUUUUCCUUCCUUCCUUCCCUUUUCUCCUUCCUUCCUUCUCUUCUCUUCUCUUUUCUUUCUCUUUCUUUUUUUGAAGGAGCAAGAGCCAAGAAUAUAGAGAUUCUUUUGUAAAACAGUGAUCCUUCCUGGUGCAUUUGCUGUUUAAUUAUGAUAAACAACAUGAGAUAUAAGUUUAUAGAAAAAUAUGAGCAAGUCACUCAGGUGGUGCCAUUCUCUAUUCCCUGGCUAUUAAAUAGGACUACAAAAAAGCUCUAUCUCCAAUGCAAGUUUUCUCACAAUUGGUAGCAGAUGAGGAGGUCAAAGAGGAGAAAUCAACGGCUGGUUAGGUCAUGCACAUUUGGUAGCACAGACCAUUGUUAAAAGCAAAAAGCAACAUUAUAGUAUCUGGUGCCUGCUUGGGAAAAUGAAGAGCAGGACAAGGUCAUGUGUGUUAUCUUGCUGUCAUCAAGACUACUACUCCCUCUUUUCUCUCUUUCCCUCCCAUCUUAAUGCUUCUCUACUUUACUCAGCUUUCAUGGUUAAACUCAAAUUCCACUUCUUCCUUGAAAGCUGCCCUCCUGUCUCCAUGUGAAAGCAUCCUCCCUACAAUAUGACUGUAUGUUUCUUCUGGUACUCAAUGGGUUCUAUACUAUAUAAUAGCUAAGUAAGUACAAGUCCUAACUCUCCUACUUACUCUCAACUCUUAAAGGUCUGAUUUCUGUUUGUAUUAAUUUUCUGUAAAACUUCAUACAAACCUGGGCAACAUAGUGAAUGAGACCCUGUCUCUAUUAAAAAAAAAAAAAAUUAGCCAGGCGUGGUGGCACGCACCUGUGGUCCCAACUACUCAGGAGGCUGAGGCAAAAGGAUCGCUUGAGUCAAAGAGGUUAAGACAGCAGUGAGCCAUGUUCACACCACUGCACUUCACCCUCAGCGACUGAGUGAGAUGUGCUCACAUUCCAUAGAUUAUUUUAACUUUCAUCCCUGUUUCCCUAUUUCUAGCAUGCACUUCUAUGAUAGCAUUAACAGUAUUGUAUUGUAAAAUUUGAUGAUCGUAUCUCUCCCCAAGACUGUAAGCCCUUUUAGAGUAGCACCUACCUUAAAAUAGUUGCUCUAUAAAUGGCAAGCAACUAUUUUCUGAAUGAAUGGUCAUUCUCAGAAAUUUGUAGUAUAUGUAGUAUGUUUGUCUUUUGUCUAAAACAAAAUGGAUCCCUCCUCCAAUGAAACUCUUCUAUAUUAGUAUUAGAUUAAGCACUAGGUAAUAUCAAACUAACUUCAGCAUUUUAUAAUAGCCCUGCUGUAAGGAAAGACAAUGCAUAAUUGUCCUAGAGAAUGAGGCCAUUUUCAGCUAGCUGUGGUGGCUCACACCUGUAAUCCCAACACUUUGGGAGGCUGAGGCAGGCAGAUCACUUGGAUUGGGAAUUCAAGACCAGUCUGGUCAACAUGCCAAAAUUCUGUCUCUACUAAAAAUACAAAAAUUAGCCAGGCAUGGUGGUGUAUGCCUAUAAUUCCAGCUACUAGGGAGGGUGAGGCACGAGAAUCACUUGAACCCGGGGUGUGGAGGUUGCAGUUAGCAGAGAUCACACCACAGCACUCCAGCCUGGGUGACAGAGUGAGACUCUGUCUCAAAACAAACAAACAAGCAAACAAACAAACAAAAAGAGAGAGAAUGAGAACAUUUCUUGCUUAACCUUGUCCAAAGGACAUAGGUCAUCCAAAGAGGUUUGAAUUUUAGGGUACUGCACAGAACCCAGAAUAGAAAAGAAGUGUGAAAACUGGCAAGACAUUGCAAUUUUCUACAAGUAUGUAAAGCUCAAACUAAAAAAGAACAUUUUUGAGAAUUUUAAGAAGUAUAUGUGAAGGAUCCUCUGACAUUAGUUUUAGUGAAGGAAGGGGCAGAGAUAGACCAAGAUCACUUUAGCAACCUAUAAUUUGGUUUAAUUGAUCGAGCAGGGAGAAAAAAGAAAGGAGAAAAAGAAUAAGGAGAUCGUGAAAUUGAAAAAUGUAAAAUACUGUAACAGAAAUUACUGUAGCUUUGCUUUGAGUAGUACUGGAAAAGUUUGUUAUACUAGGAAAUAGUCAUAUAAAUGGAAAGAUGGUUUUUCAUGUCUUUUAUGACUUGUUGUAAAUGAUUAAUUAAAUACUCUGAGUGUUUCAUUAAAUAUAUGCAUUCCUUCCAAAUUAAAGUGUGCAGAGACUCGUUAUAAAUAAAUUCAUUGGGUGAAUGAAAGGAGCAUUUACUUCUAAAGGAAUAUUACUGGCAAAUUUCAUUCUUGACAUUGAUUAAAUAAACUAAAUUUAUUUUAAUGGCAAUAUGAGCAAAUUACAAGGCUAAUUAGUUUUCUACUUUAGUAUUUUUACAUUAUUUAAUGCAUUUAUAAGUGAUCCAACAAUUUUAAGAAUUUUACUACAUAAAAAGCAUUUUGUAAUAAAAUGUGAAAAUGAAAGAAUGAAUAAGACAUGGUUCUCGCUUCACUCAUUUUCUACUUUCACGCUUCAUGGAACAAUUUUAAGUGUCUACUAUGAGCAAACCCUUUUCCUGAAUGUUGCAGGCAAUAGAAAGGAAAAAUAAGACUUGUUUCUUCCCUCUAAAAGCUUGAAAUGUCAUGGCAAAAACAUAUGCAC
rnacentral:lncRNA from 1 species